rnacentral:rRNA from 2 species
UGGGGAAUAUUGCACAAUGGGGGAAACCCUGAUGCAGCCAUGCCGCGUGUGUGAAGAAGGCCUUCGGGUUGUAAAGCACUUUCAGUAGGGAGGAAAGGUUGUAAGUUAAUACCUUGCAGCUGUGACGUUACCUACAGAAGAAGGACCGGCUAACUCCGUGCCAGCAGCCGCGGUAAUACGGAGGGUCCAAGCGUUAAUCGGAAUUACUGGGCGUAAAGCGUGCGCAGGCGGUUUGUUAAGCGAGAUGUGAAAGCCCCGGGCUCAACCUGGGAAUUGCAUUUCGAACUGGCAAACUAGAGUCUUGUAGAGGGGGGUAGAAUUCCAGGUGUAGCGGUGAAAUGCGUAGAGAUCUGGAGGAAUACCGGUGGCGAAGGCGGCCCCCUGGACAAAGACUGACGCUCAGGCACGAAAGCGUGGGGAGCAAACAGG